rnacentral:rRNA from 1 species
UACAGAGGGGGCAAGCGUUGUUCGGAAUUACUGGGCGUAAAGGGCGCGUAGGCGGCCUUCUAAGUCGAACGUGAAAUCCCCGGGCUCAACCCGGGAACUGCGUCCGAUACUGGAAGGCUUGAAUCCGGGAGAGGGAUGCGGAAUUCCAGGUGUAGCGGUGAAAUGCGUAGAGAUCCGGAGGAACCCCUGAGGCGAAGGCGGCGUCCUGGCGCACUUCUGACGUUCAGACACGACAGCAUGGGGAGCGAACGGG